rnacentral:rRNA from 1 species
UAGGGGGCAAGCGUUAUCCGGAUUUACUGGGUGUAAAGGGAGCGUAGACGGCUACUGCAAGUCUGAAGUGAAAACCCAGGGCUCAACCCUGGGACUGCUUUGGAAACUGCAGAGCUUGAGUACCGGAGGGGUAAGCGGAAUUCCUAGUGUAGCGGUGAAAUGCGUAGAUAUUAGGAGGAACACCAGUGGCGAAGGCGGCUUACUGGACGGUAACUGACGUUGAGGCUCGAAAGCGUGGGGAGCAAA